AUUGAACGCUGGCGGCAGGCUUAACACAUGCAAGUCGAGCGGAGUGAUGGUGCUUGCACUAUCACUUAGCGGCGGACGGGUGAGUAAUGCUUAGGAAUCUGCCUAUUAGUGGGGGACAACAUCUCGAAAGGGAUGCUAAUACCGCAUACGUCCUACGGGAGAAAGCAGGGGAUCACUUGUGACCUUGCGCUAAUAGAUGAGCCUAAGUCGGAUUAGCUAGUUGGUGGGGUAAAGGCCUACCAAGGCGACGAUCUGUAGCGGGUCUGAGAGGAUGAUCCGCUACACUGGGACUGAGACACGGCCCAGACUCCUACGGGAGGCAGCAGUGGGGAAUAUUGGACAAUGGGGGGAACCCUGAUCCAGCCAUGCCGCGUGUGUGAAGAAGGCCUUAUGGUUGUAAAGCACUUUAAGCGAGGAGGAGGCUCUUUUGGUUAAUACCCAGAAUGAGUGGACGUUACUCGCAGAAUAAGCACCGGCUAACUCUGUGCCAGCCGCCGCAGUAACAC
rnacentral:rRNA from 1 species